UAAGGCGGUCGGGCAGUCGCCGGCGCAGCAAUGUGCGGGAGGAAAGUCCGGACACCGCAGGGCAGAACGGUCGGUAACGCUGACGUGCCGUGAGGCAGGGAAAGUGCCGCAGAAAACAGACCGCCUGUUUCUUUAGGGGAGCAGGUAAGGGUGAAACGGUGGUGUAAGAGACCACCGCUCCGCCGGGUGACCGGAGGAGGCAUGGUAAACCCCGUUCGGUGCAAGGUUAAAUAGGUGAUCGUUUAAGGGCUGCCCGCCCGACUAUGCGUUCACGGGUGAACCGCUUGAGCAUACAGGCAACUGUAUGCCUAGAUUAAUGACUGCCUCGGCUUUUAAAAAAGCUCAGACAGAAUCCGGCUUACAGACCGCCUUACCGU
rnacentral:RNase_P_RNA from 1 species